UUCAUUCAAGGAAAAGCGGAAUGCCUCGUCAAUUGGUAUGCGCCUCUUUCUACCCCCUCCAUGGACCCGACAAUGUUUCCCAGAGAAGAAAUUUAACCUCUUCCCGCCUGGAUCCCACCGAAGCUCCAGCGCAGCUCUCUGGGAAUGCCCCCAUGCAUGACGCUGCUGCAAGAAAUGUGAGGCGAGGAGUAGGGGGAGCAGCAGACACUGAGGAAAAAGAAAGAGGGGGAGCUUCGCAGGAUGCCGCAACGAAGUUUGGAGCACAAAGCAGGAUGAGGCGAUAAACAGGCUGUUGCUUUUCCGCUUGCCUGCACACACUGAAUCCCUCUUUCCCUGUCUUUUAAUGGGCCUCACAUUAGCAUCUGUUUAGCGUCAGCCUCAACAUGGCCUGUGGAGGAUGAUUAAAAUAACCCAGCUAUCGCGUAACAUCCUGGCAGCGACAUCAAAAUACGGUCAGACGUUGGAAUAUUUGCAGCAACAGACGUUUUAGAAAGUUUGUACGAACGUUCUCCACUUAACAAUAUUUAUUAGCUGCUCCUGUUCAAAUAUUCCUCUUAUGAGAUUACCUUCCCUGUGGAAAGAUAUACUUUAAUAUGCCAGGAACAAGCAUUCAACAUUAAGAUUAUUAUGGAGCACUUCAUCAUCUACAGUAUCAAAUAUGUUUUCAUGCAUGGAUGCACUUGUAUAAAAGAGAUGAACAAAAUUACUCAAUAUUAAAGUAUCUCUGACUGUC